CAGCGCAGAGGAGAGGUGUGUACGCUGUGCACUGCUGUGCAGCACUCUACAUCUAGCACGUGGUGCUACCAACCUAGGCACCGUGGGUGUAGAAAAAUGCAGCGGCUGGCGACAAGUGCGAAGAAAUUCCAGGGAGCCAAAAUGAUGCAAAAUUUCUACAUAAUUCGAAGAAAAUUGCUGAGAAUUCUACAUGGAAGGAAUAAUUUUUCUUCCGAGAAAAAUGUAAUUUUUGACCAUAAAUCGUUAAAAUUGGAUUAAAUUUUCUGCCAGAAUUAGAGUAAUGUUUACUUUUUGUAUCUAAAUUUCAUUAAAUUCUAAGAUUUUCCUAAUAAAACUCGUAGGAGACGUCUUGAUCAUAGUCGCUUAAUUUCGAUAAUAGAAUGUCUAGAAAACCAAAGAUGUAAUACAAGUUAAUUAUAUAUUAAGUACAUACUGGAAACAUUUCAAACUGCACUUCGGCCAACGUCCGGACAUUGUUAUUUCAACGUACUGAAAUCGAACUUCCAUCCUUCCAUCAGUCAUGAACUUUUCGUGUUUAUAUUAAAAUUCUGUGAAAAUGAGAGGUAAUUUCGAUUAACUUUAUGAUAAAAAAAUCAAUUUGUCUCGUCAUGAAUUGAUGAUAACCUGCUGAGUCCUGUCGAAUGUUGGUACGAUUUCAGUUGUUUGGAAUAAUAUGCUUGAUUCUCUUCAGAAUCAUAUGGUAGAGAGCUUUAAAAUAGUAUUUAAGUUAACUUUAUUGCUAGUAAUAUGAGUUCAGUACGAUAUUGGCGUAGUCAUGGGUUCGGCGACACGCAGCAUUCCUUCCAAGUAUGUUUUGAUAUUACCAUUUGUGAAGAGUUUUGGAUUCAACAUUUCCUGCGAAAUGUUAUCUGUCGUUGUAUACAUCUCGCAAAAAUUCUAUUCCACGUCAAAAAAUAAAUUUAUGAAUUUUAAUUAGAUCAGAAAUACUUGCAUAUCAGAAUGACCAGUAUCGAUCCAAUAGCUCUCAUUUUGAUUUUUUCACGUUAAAAAAUUCAUUUUUUUAUUCCAUUUGUAUUUGUAGUUCAUUUCGGUGACGAUUCGCAGGUAACGGAGUUUAACGAAUACGGGUACGAAUGAGAAUGAGAAUACGAAUACGGGUACGAAUGUUACGAAUGAGAUGCACUAAGAGAAUUUUUCAUUCUCCUGUUUUUCCUUUUUUUAAAUGUUAUUUUUUUCGUAUGUAUUUUUAUACAGCCUUUUUGGUUGGGGAAAACGUGUAAUGCUUAUGUGUAGGGUUUAAUUUUAAUUUCGCUUAGUUGUGUUUUAUAAAUUUGUAUUGUAAGGAUGAAUAGAAUUAAGGCUCGAAGAUAUACAGCUAUUUUCCAAAUAAUUCCCAACUGUAGUUGCUUCUACUAGCUUUUUCUUUUUUCUUCCGUCACGUCUCGAGGCAUAAUUCCUUUCAAAAGAAUCAUUCGAUCUGUUUUGAGUAAUAAAAUUUCUAUUAUUUUUGUACAUGAUUAAUUUUAAGAAUCAACUGUUGAAGGCCAUAGAUGGAUUAUCGGUGGCCAUCCAUUGGAUGAUGUUCGACAUCUCUUAAUUCAAUAAUGAUUAAUUAUAUUUAGUGCAAGAACAAAUGAUUGGCUGUGAUUAGGCUAAUUUCUCGUAGUCAGUAUUGGCCUAAUUAACAUUUUAAUUACUGUUAAUUUGCGUCCUUUGAAAUCGAUAGAUCAUAAUUGCGAUGCAAUUUUGUGAUAAAAAGGAGUAAUUUGAACCAUUUCUUUAAUAUCAUCUGAAAAAAUAGUCUAUUUGAUAAUUUUUUCAUGCGAUGUUUGAAUUAAUGGUGAAAUCUCAUAACGAUCUCUGUUUUUUUUUUGUCUAAUCGGAGAAUGUCAUCAACAUGUAUUUUUUUCAGGCACCAAUUUUGAUUUUUAAUAAUAAUUCUAUUCCGACUUAUGCAUAUUGCCGUUGUUUUUGUCUCUAUUCGAGUAUAUGUAAAUUUUUAUCUCUUUCCAUCUCAUUAAUAAACGAUUGGUUUUA